GCACCUAUAGCUCAGCUGGAUAGAGCGAUGGACUUCGAAUCCAAAGGUCGCGAGUUCGAAUCUUGCUAGGUGCACCA
rnacentral:tRNA from 1 species